rnacentral:rRNA from 1 species
AUGAACGCUGGCGGCGUGCCUAAUCCAUGCAAGUCGAGCGAACAGACGAGGAGCUUGCUCCUCUGACGUUAGCGGCGGACGGGUGAGUAACACGUGGAUAACCUACCUAUAAGACUGGGAUAACUUCGGGAAACCGGAGCUAAUACCGGAUAAUAUAUUGAACCGCAUGGUUCAAUAGUGAAAGACGGUUUUGCUGUCACUUAUAGAUGGAUCCGCGCCGCAUUAGCUAGUUGGUAAGGUAACGGCUUACCAAGGCAACGAUGCGUAGCCGACCUGAGAGGGUGAUCGGCCACACUGGAACUGAGACACGGUCCAGACUCCUACGGGAGGCAGCAGUAGGGAAUCUUCCGCAAUGGGCGAAAGCCUGACGGAGCAACGCAGCGUGAGUGAUGAAGGUCUUCGGAUCGUAAAACUCUGUUAUUAGGGAAGAACAAAUGUGUAAGUAACGAUGCACGUCUUGACGGUACCUAAUCAGAAAGCCACGGCUAACUACGU